UAAAACUCAAACCUCUCUUCUCCAACACAAAAUGGCGAAAAGCACUUUGAAAUUUGCAUUCAUGCUCUCCCUUUUCAUCGCCGCCUUUUACAUUUCGGUGUCCGAAGCGAGGGAGAUGAAGGAAGAAACCAGUCGUAACUGUGCCAAUGGAGCUUGUCUCCCCGGCAGUGGGGACGUUGGGCUGGAGACGGUAUAUAAAUGCAAAACUGAUGAUGAGUGUGUGCGUAAAUGUGGGUUCAACUUUGGUUUUUGUAUUGCUGGAUUCUGUCGUUGCACCGACGUCUAAAACAAGAACCAUUAAAAGAUGAAUAAAUUAAUAAGUGUUUUUUUCA